rnacentral:rRNA from 1 species
UGCCUUCGGGGCUCCUUGGUGAUUCAUAAUAACUUAACGAAUCGCAUGGCCUUGUGCCGGCGAUGGUUCAUUCAAAUUUCUGCCUAUCAACUUUCGAUGGUAGCAGUCAGUGGUCUACCAUGGUUUCAACGGGUAACGGGGCAAUUAGGGUUCUAUUCCGGAGCAGGGAGCCUGAGCAAACGGCUACCACAUCCAAGGAAGGCAGCAGGCGCGCAAAUUACCCAAUCCCGACACGGGGAGGUAGUGACAAUAAAUACUGAUACAGGGCUCUUUUGGGUCUUGUAAUUGGAAUGAGUACAAUUUAAAUCCCUUAACGAGGAACAAUUGGAGGGCAAGUCUGGUGCCAGCAGCCGCGGUAAUUCCAGCUCCAAUAGCGUAUAUUAAAAUUGUUGCAGUUAAAAAGCUCGUAGUUGAACUUCAGAUUUGGUCGGGUGGUCCGAUUCACAGCGUGUAACUGCUUGGCUGGGUCUUGUACUCUUGGUGAACCAUUGUAGCCCUAUAUAUGGUCGUGCUUUGGGGAACCAGGACUUU